CCCUUAGAUGUUCUGGGCCGCACGCGCGCUACAAUGGUCUUCGCAAACGGAUGCAUUCUCGAAGGAGAAUGCUAAUCUUGGAAUCUAUGCCUUGGUCGGGACAGUUGCUUGCAAUUUUUCGACUCGAACCAGGAAUUCCUUGUAAUCGUGAUUCAUCACAUCACGAUGAAUACGUCCCUGCCCUUUGUACACACCGCCCGUCGCUCCUACCGAUCGAAGAGUUAGGUGAAUUGUUUUGAUCGAUAAGAUUUGACUAUGGUCAACUCUCGUUGUGAAAUUCUGUGAAUCUGACUGUUUAGAGGAAGGAAAAGUCGUAACA
rnacentral:rRNA from 1 species